GGGUGCCCGCCGCACGAGGUGGCGAUGGCAGGUGAAUGUUCAUGCGCAGGUCGGGCCGCCAGCG
rfam:Comamonas testosteroni CNB-2, complete genome.